GGAAGUUUUUCCUUGCCUCUGUCUCCUAGUGCUGCUCUUGGUGGGAACUGUUGGGCUUCUGUAAAUAACUUCAUAGAGUACGGUCCUGCAGCCGGGCGCUCAUUGGUUUGAUGCUUCCUCUCCAGCUGCAGUUUCGUUUUGUGAUCACGUGGAUUCAGAGUAACGGGUUCCUCGCGCCUCACGCCGCUCCUCCAGAAGCAGGUUAACCGGGAAGUUCCGCCUGAAGUUACUGGAUCAGCCAGGUACCCCGCUUGGUGGAACAGGCCACCGCAGGGCAGACAGAGCCUUUCUGAUCAGCUGAGCAGCAGCAGAGAGGAAAACCUGCAGACUGAACUUUGACUUAGAAGCAGAGAAACUCUACCUGACAAUGGCCUCAGAACCAAGAAGAAAAAGAUUUAGCAAAGACCUGCCUCCUGAUCUGUCCGAAUUAAUGAACAAACUCAUCCAACAUGCAACUUCAUUUAUCAGAGGAUUUGACAUCAGUAAACAGAGGAGGACAGAGAUUGUAGGAGAGUUUCAGAACAUCACUGCUGAAGUCAGAAAGAUGCAGAAGAUUACACAAUACAAGAUAUUCACAGGCAUCAUCUUUGUAAUUUCAAUGAUUUUGAAGUUGAGCUUAGUUGGAGGAGGAAGAGGAGCAGUAGCAGCAGUAGCAGCAGUAGGAGCAAUAUCAGUAGCAAUAGCAGUUUCUGCUGCAAACAAAAAAAAAACCACAGAGAACAAAAGUGCAGAGAAAGUAUUAAAUCUUGGGGGGGAAUUCCUGGAGAUUGUUGAACCGCUGAAGAACGAGCUGGAAGAAAUAAAGAGGACGUGUGAACGGUUGGAGGAAGAAUCAGCUGCAUUUCAGGCUGAGAACACUCUGUCACACAUGGAGGAGUUUCAGAGGAUCCUCAGACAAGUGGCUCAACUGAAUCAAGAGAGUCAGGAAGCUGUGGAUGUAGCUGUAUUAGUGAUGGGGGUGAUGGGUAAACUGGUGAUGCUCAUUCGGAAUGUCUUCACAAUCUUUGCUGAAGAGAACAGAAAGUUAACAGCCUCCAUCCUCCAGUCAGCUGAUCAGUGUCAGAAAGUCUCUGAUCAGUUUGAUCAGAUGAAGAAUGAACUGUCAGCGUUUCCAGGACAGUAAAGCUGCAGCGUGAAGAAAAACAUCCAGACUCAUGUCCAACAUCUCCAAAGCCUGAUCUGUGAGCUCAGCCUCUAAAUGUAAAGGCUGCUGAGCUGAACUCCCUCCUCGGUGUUUAAUGUGGAUCUGCUGACUUCCUGUCCUGCAGGAACACGAUCAGUAGAACUCACUUUACUGAGUGGAUAUAUCUGUUGAUGUGUCUGCUUGAUAUCUGCAGUGACGUCAGUAGCUGAGCUCACUUUUCCUUCAGCAGCUUCAUUUUAGACUUCUUAUUGUCUAACUCUGAUCUGAAGUCAGCUCACAUUUCUCUUUCACUCAUUUUCUUUCAUUUGCUCUCUUUGUUCUCAUUCAUUCUCAUACAAUCACUUUGUUUAACAGGUCGAGGAGAUUUCCUCUUUUUAUUGACAUAUUACAGGCUUUUCGUUCUGUUUGUGCCGUUAACUGAGAAGAUUUGAAUAAUUUUUUUGUAAAUGUUUGUUUUUAUUUGAGUUUUGAGCUGUGAUUUGUCUGUUUAAUUAUUUUUUUCAAGUACAUUUUUUUAUUAUGAUUUGUUGACUUUCAAUGUGUAAAUAAAUUGAACAUAUAUUCAAUAUAAAUCAUCAAUACAUCAUCAGGUAUUCUUUAGUAGUCAGAAUAAAAUGUAAACUCUCAUUAAUCACAAUAAAUCUUUAAUACCAUC